ACAGAACCAUCAGUUGCACCGAGUAAUAUUCAUGUAUCUUCACAAGGAAUUACAUCAUUAACAAUCAGCUGGGAUGCAUUAGACAUAUUUCACAAGAAUGGAGACGUUGAAGGAUACAAGGUUUAUUACCGAGGUCCAGGGCUUGUAGGAACACAGAGUGCAAGCGUCGUUGGAGAAACUAAUUGUCAACUCACUGUAUCUGGUUUAAGACCUAAUAGUACAUACCAGUUUAUUUUACAAGCCAUCAAUGAUGUAGGACCUGGUAAAUACAGUGGGUUUCUACCUAUUUCAACAUUCCCAUUACCUACGACAUCAACAACAACUACAACACCAUUACCGACAACAACAUCGACAGCAAUAACGACGACGAUAACAACAUCGGCAACAACAUCUACAACAACACCGACGACAACAAAUACAACAGCAACAACAUCAAUACCGACAACAACAUCGACUUUAAUAAUUGAGUCCACUACUCAACGAACAAGGAGGUUCAAAAGACCAAACAAUGCCAGCUCACACAGUAUUACA